GGCUGCGUAGCUCAGUUGGUCAGAGCAAUGGACUCAUAAGCCAGAGGUCGGUGGUUCAAAUCCACCCGCAGCCACCA
rnacentral:tRNA from 1 species